CUACGGGGGGCUCCAGUGGGGAAUAUUGCACAAUGGGCGCAAGCCUGAUGCAGCCAUGCCGCGUGUAUGAAGAAGGCCUUCGGGUUGUAAAGUACUUUCAGCGGGGAGGAAGGGAGUAAAGUUAAUACCUUUGCUCAUUGACGUUACCCGCAGAAGAAGCACCGGCUAACUCCGUGCCAGCAGCCGCGGUAAUACGGAGGGUGCAAGCGUUAAUCGGAAUUACUGGGCGUAAAGCGCACGCAGGCGGUUUGUUAAGUCAGAUGUGAAAUCCCCGGGCUCAACCUGGGAACUGCAUCUGAUACUGGCAAGCUUGAGUCUCGUAGAGGGGGGUAGAAUUCCAGGUGUAGCGGUGAAAUGCGUAGAGAUCUGGAGGAAUACCGGUGGCGAAGGCAGCCCCCUGGACGAAGACUGACGCUCAGGUGCGAAAGCGUGGGGAGCAAACAGGAUUAGAUACCCGGGUAGUC
rnacentral:rRNA from 1 species